AAAAUUCUGCUGCCGAUCCCACCGUUUUGUUUCGAGAUUAGCUGUUCUUUUUGAGAUUUCCUCUGCACUUUCUUCCUCUGAAGUCCUUUUCCUUUUGUCUGCCUCUAACCCUUCCACUUCUGAUCACUCAGAUAACUAGACUGCAAACAAACCCAUGUUUUAGAAGGUCCCUGAAUAACACAAAUAGAUAAAUCUAUGCAGGCAGGACAGAUUGCAGUCAUAAACACGAUUUCCAGCCCUGUUCAGUUCCAGGCCAACAGAUGCUUUAACCUAGAGUACAACACAUAAGCGCUAUCCUUAGUAAAACUUCCUUUCUGUUCUACUGGCUUUAUGCCAUCAAAUUUUAUGUUUCUCAACUGAUUGAAUUCUGCUGAACCAUCAGCACUGAUGGAGUUUUUUGUUUUAUCCAGUCCAAGAGUGCACUUGGGCCGUUCUCUUGUUCUUGGUUCCUUUUUCUUGCUCUUGUCCAUUAAGUGAUGGAAGAGUCCCAAGUCCUUCAGGCUCUUAAGGGGGAUCAAAGAUUAAAUUGAGCAUCGUUUUCAAACUGCGGGUUUUACCUGAAAAUAUCUUUCAAAGUGAAGGUGUCGUAAGGAUUUGCUCUUUAUUUUUUACUUUCAGAAUUGGUGAAAAAUAUCAGACAGUGUCAGUUAGGCUGACAGUCGCUGUGCUUUCCCAACAGGAGAUCAUGAAACAGUGGCAGGUGUUUAUAAAACCUCUCCUGCAAGCUCAUUAUGUUGUAUGCAAUUAUUAGCUCUCUUGGGGAUGCAUAUCCAGGCAGUCUGAGUGACUCAUGUUGAUUUCAGGGGGAGCUCCAUGCAGGGGACUGGGUCCUUUUGUAGAAGAGCGGGAAAGAAAAGCACAGUUGUUUUUAGGAAGGCAACUUGAAUCUGCAGUUAAAGUUGACUAUUUAUGUAACCCAUUGAAUUCUGCUCGUCCCGGUGUUAUUUCAGGUAUUUUUUCCUCCCACCUCUCCCAGGGUGUUUAAUUUCCUCAAGCGUUGCAGCUCUCAUUUUGCCUCGAGGUUUAUUGUCCCCACUAAUGGAAGUGUCACCCAGAAGUAUGGAAACAGAACUGGUUCAUCUGGCUGGGAGAUAAGCUUUUUUUUCUCCUAGCAUCACUCCAGUUCAGCGAAUCGGCUCCAUUUUUUUCUCCAUCUUACCUGCUCCCUAUUACUGUCUCUGCUAUAGAUUCAGCAGAUCAAGUCCUUGCGUAUUGGUGCAAGAGAACCUUUGCUGUCUUGCUUACAGCAGUUCAUGAGCCUGAUGUUUUGGGCACUGUAUAAGCUACAGAUGAGUCAGAGUCAAAGAUUCACGGGACUCUUUCCAGUAGCUUCAAUGGGCUUUGACUCGAGCCUUCAGAACACUUGACUGGAACAGAUGGUGUGUCCACAGGCAGGCAGGUAGCCUGACAGUCAUAAUUCAUGAUGGUAUAAUGCCACUGACACUGAUUUACGCCAGUUGUUAGUGAAAAAAUACUUCCCACAUGUGCAGAGCCUGUUUCAGUGUCUUUGAACUCUGUUGUUCUGCUCCUGACAGUGGGGCUGGAGGUGAAGCUGAAGCAAUAGAUAGGUGUGAGGUAAUCCAUUCCUAUAAUGAUCUUCUCCUGAACUCCAAAAACUGGGUUUAGUUUAAUCGCUAUAGCAUGGUUUAAUCCCCAAAACGCUUUUCACCUUUUAGUAUUAAAACAUUCAACUUGGAGGAGGUGAUCUUCUCAUUUCAUGUUUGUCCUUAAGUUUUUUCCCAACGUGGUGAGUGAGAAUCCCCUGUUCAUUUGUCAGUGGGAACCACCAAACACUCAGGAAGAGAAACAAAGAACUUCCUUAUUCCUACAUCUGGCAAAGAUCAGAAGGCUUUCUGUUCUGUCUCUUAAACUGUGGUGUUGCAGGUCAUUUACUGAGCAUGUAGUUUUCAGUGAGAAUGAAACUGGGGGCUUUUCUGAGGAAUGUUUAAAAAAAAAACAAACAACAACAACCAGGGAGCAGCAGAGGGCUUGUAUCUAGGUGGUCUUUGAUGAACUAGAUGAUCAUUGUCCCUCACAACCCAAGCCAUUCUGUGAUUCUGUAUUUCCAUGAUUCUAUGACUUUCAGUCCAAAAAAUACAAGCAGCUGUUGGUGUGAAGGUGUAGAAUACUUCAGUAAAAAUGUAAACCUCUGUUUCUAAAACAAAGUGGAGGUAUCAAACUGCUGCCCAUAGUACCAAAAAGCAGCUUCUAGUUUAAGAAAGUGUUCGUUGUGUCAGUGACUUUCACGUGGUUUCAUCUUUUCUUAUAACAACCACCUGCAUGAGGAACUCUCACUGCUUACUCUUCAUCAGGCUCAUGCCUUAGUUUUUGUCCUGCAGCAAGACUGGGGAGAGUCCAUCUCUUCUAGAGUGCAAGCAAUUUCCAAAUCAACAAAGCACCCCGACUCUUGAGCUUCCCCCUAUGAUUGGGUUGGUCGGCCACUGCCAGAAGCUUCCUCCCCUCUGUUGACAACUGGCUUUGCUGCAGCUCUCCAAGCAGCUCGAAACAUGGACUGCUCCUGGUGCAGCCCACACGCUUACUGAUGAUGAAGGAAAAGGGAUCAACAAGCAAGUAAUUGUUCUUGUUUGCUACCCAGGCUCCCUGCCCAGAGCCCUUGCUCAAGUCAGAGAACUACUUCCUCUCCUUCCAGCCCACUUGGCUCUCUUAGUACCACACCUCAGAGGGAUUUCUGUUUCAGAGUUUCCAGUGGGCAAUCCUGAUCUUUUCAUUUCAGUUUUGCCCUUAAGAUUUAUUUUCUCAGUGUGGUGAGUGGAUAUCCCCUGUACCAGGGCUGCUCAUGUAUUUUCCUUUAACUUUGCUUAGGGUAGGGAUGUGAAAUCUGCCUGCACAUGUCUGCUUGGUUCUAUGAGAUUAAAUGUGAAAUGUAUGCAUGAAAUGAGCAGUCAGCUGCACACUCAACAUGACUCAUGGUCUCUAUGUAGCUACUCAGGAGAGCAUUCUUGUAUAUUAAUUUCAGUGCAAAAUACCUGGUGGGACUCCAGAAGCAGUUCAAGUUUCUAAUGAAAAUUCAUUUUUUCAGUAUAUGCAACUGUUCAUCUUAUCACCUUUCAGUGCUUUUAAAGGCAUUUGUAAUUCUCUAGUAAGCUGUGAGCAGUGAUGAAGAAAGUCCAGAUUUAAGUCACUACAUGGAGAAUUCUUCAGAGGUUCUGAUGUACUUCUAAUAUUAAAAGAAAUCUGAUAGAAUUUACUCUGUACUACCCCAAAUAUUAAUAGAUUGCUUAUCAGGUUUAGGGAAGAACAGUUAAUUCUUUUUUAUUGGCUUUAGGAUUAUUUUUACUAACUAAAACUACUCAGGGUAUGAGUUUGCAACACAAAUCGUGUAAUUUUAUAUUUCUUUUUCUUAGGGAAAAUGAGACACAUUAUUUUGAACACGUCUGCCUGCAAAUAUGUUGUUGGAUAUAUUAUAUAUGUGAUGAUAAUAUACUGAAUUGUAUCAGGUUUCUUCCCCUUAUCUAUAUAUGUCCUUACAAAUAUGUCUCUAUCUUAUGGAAGAGUGUAUGGGGACCAUUAGGUCAUGGCCUGAACCAGUGAUGGAGCACCUGGUGAAGGGAUGUAGCCAGCCGUGGGAGCACAGGUGGAAGCAAUUCACAUGUGUGAGGGAAGGUGGGACUCUGCGUCCACCUCUCCCUAACCUCAUUGAAGGACUGGCAGCCAUAAGGGAAGCAUCUCUACUUAGAGAUUGCCUUCUUUAGAAUGUUUGGUGAGCCCUGAUCUUUGGAAAGGGGUAAGUGAUUCCUUCUUUAUUACUGGAUUGUGACCUCUGUCUUUCUUUGGUGAUCCAAACCUCAUUUAAAGCAGCCGUAUCAGCUAUUGCCUAUCCUUACAGAGAGCUUCUUUCUUUAGCAGUGCUGUGUUUUGCCAGUUGCUGCAGUUUUAGAAUUUCUCAUGCGGUAUUUCAAAUCUGUUUACUACUUCUUAACUAAAAAAAAUUAUACUUCCUAUGAUAUCCAUCUAUAAUCUCAAUGUAAAAAGUGCUCUGCAUGCAAGUCUCCUUGCAGAUACUCGGAAAAUAUCAGUGGCGAUGUACACAGUUACAGGGCAGAAAAAGAGAGAAAGAUAAGAGUUGUGCUUCAUGAACUUGCAGCUCUUCAUUUCUAAAAAGGUCAUGGGGAGUUUCUUCAGAAACACAUUUUUAUCUCAUAGCACUGUUUGCUUACAAUGGGUGGUAGAGGUUGACUAUGUAUAUGUUUGCUGUUGCUACUUGAGAGUGUGAAGCUGUUUCUUUUGCUUCCUGUUGCUACACAAAACAGGCUGGCUCCUUGAUACCUCAUCUCUGCAUUCCCUUUAUAGAGAUGAAGGGGUAAAAAGAGGAGACAUUGUCCACUCUCUUGUUGCUCAAUGACAGUGGUUAAUGUGGAGAUGUGCACACUGCAGACAUAUUAUGGCCAGAAGAAAACUGGAAAAUUGAGCUGUUGGAGGCUGUCACUUACCAGCAGCCCAGAACCUUGACAGCCUUUGUGGGGACCUCCACUGCAGAAGGCACUGCACAGCUCAUUCUUUCUCUUGUAGCCUUUUUGCUCUGUUUGUGGAAGAGGGAUUCUGUAUCCAGCUUCAGAAAAGGUAGUUGGGCCAAGCUAUGUAUGGAAAAACAAACAAACAAACAAAAAAAAACCACACACACAAAAAAACCCUUUUUCUUUGCACAAAAAUACUUAUUUUUAUCUGACACCUCUAUAACAAUUACAGUAUGUGAAGCUCGACCUACCAAUACCUUCAGUGGACAAAGGGAUGCAGAGACAAAGCACUAUCUCACAUGGUUCUGUACCUCUCCAUUUAAGCACCCUAUCUACAACCUGACCAAUAACAGCCUGUCUAGCCCUUGUGACCUGUUCAGACCCAGUUUGUAUCCACCUUCACCCAAUGGUCCAACUAAUUCUCAUCACAGGUGUAACAUAUAACACACAUGAAAGCUGUGCCUUCUGAAUUUUGGAAGACUUUGCUCCUUUUUUUACAGCAUUUAUGCUUUCUUUUUCUCUCUGUAUUGUAAUGUAUGGCAGUGAGGUUGGAGAAGUUUUUCUUGUUCUUUGCUCCCACCAGUGCUCCUGUGUGCUUUCACCAAAAUGUGAAAACACAGAUUUUUUAAUGGCUUGAUAUUUAUCUGGUUGAGAAGAGACAGAAUGCAACUCUUAGGAGCAAGUGGUAGUUUUCAUGUAUACUGAGGCAGUCUGCAUGAUGUUUUAAAGUGCUGUUCACAUGCGAGUCAUGCACAGAAGUCAUUCAUUUUAAAGGUUGCAUUCUCCUAAUGCGUGACAGGUUAUAUACAGUGCCGUGCAGUCUUGUAUAUCACAAGACUUUCCUCUUUUGCAGCAAUGUGUAUAGCAUUUUAGCUUCAGUACACAACCCUCAUCACAAAAUGAGCUUCCCUACACUGCGUUCUGGCUGUGUCUGCCCUGGUACGAAGACCAUUACUGGCACAUCUGUACCUUUGAUCCUCUCUGGUCCCUCUGGAGUGUGCUCCCUCUGUCUUGUGUGAAACCCCAUGAUCAACUGUCUUGUGUCUCUAAGGUUUGACACUCACAAAAACAUGGCUUGUCAGAAGCUCUGGGUGGUUCAGCAUAUAAGGCUUUCCACCUGGGGCUGAUAGCAGAAGGCAAACAGAAUGACUCACAGUUCACCAACCUCUGUUUUCUGCAGAAUUGAAAUCAAGUAAAAUACAGUGAGUGGCUUCCUGUUUAGCUGCUACUCAGAGAGGAAGAAUUGUGUCCAUUGCUUUUGCAGGGCUUAAAGGAGCAAUUUACAGUUGAAAGUCUUCAUGUCUAAUCUGCAGCCUAUCUGAAGUCUUGAUUAAAUCUUGUGCUCACACUCUUCAACUUGUUUUCUGUUUUUUCCUUACACUAUAAUAGCAUAGCAGUCUCCGGGAGAGAACCUUUACAGUCGCGCAGCUCUGGAGGAGGUGCUUUACUUAUUGCUUCAGUCAUUGGAAACUGCAAUUGGUUUUAUGGACCAAAAUGCUAGAAGAAUGACUUUAUUUUUAGAAAAAAAGAACGUAUGAUUUGUCCGAGCAAGGAAAAGAAAUUCAAAGAUCUCAUUGUGCCUAACUUUGUUUCUCAUUCAGUCUGCAUUUUUUAGUUUGGUUUAAUUUUGUUUCUGCUUGAAUGUUUUUUGAUUCAUUCACAGGUGUUUAUUAUGUGGUGUAUCUUAAGGUCUGUAUUAAAGUUUUUCUAUCAGAUAGGCAGAAAGGUGUUCACACAACAAGCAUCCAGUGCUGCUUCUUGCCUUGGCGCAGGACAUGUCAUGAGGACUGGGGAGGCUCUUUGAGGUCCCAGGUAUCUGUUAAUCUGCUCCUAUGACUAACAGAGUAAAACCUGGAGAGAGGGCUCCAGGUAUCUUAAGAUGAUAUGCAGCCACAUCUCGCUUCCCAUAUUUUACUCUUUCUUUUCAAAACUUCUUUGAUUCACAGUAUCUUGGGCUGUGGAGAAAAAAGACUGACUAUUGCUUCAGUUUUGCUGUGUUCCUGCUGAGUCUGAGGCGCUAUGCUUAGAGGCAACUUUGAUAUCGUUAGAAUUCCUUCUGCCUGGAAUCAGCUGAGGUCAGGAGGUCUUGUGUGACUGAACAGAUUGUUCUUGUCUGUGACGUGAUGUCCUGGAUCCGCCACGCACCAUUUCCAGAGCCAGCUUCAGCAAGGGAACGGGUCUGAGUCGGAUCACGAUCUUGAAUGCUGCAAAUGCCUCUGGGACCAUUCUCUCUCCUACAGAGAUCUCCUUUCUGGGAAAGCAGCCUCCCAGUUGCAGACCUCUGCAGGAAAGGCUGCUUCUGUGAAGCUGAAAUGGAGCCAGAGCACACCAGCAAGGAAGCUGUGAUUUCAUCCAGCAGAAACUCCUAGGCUUCACUGCAGCACUCUGUGCAGAUGCAGCAUCAUUCUGGCCGGGUGCUCACCCACUGCUAGCAGAGGAGUCCCUGAGAGGAUGCCCGUGUGAUUCUGUGCCACUGUCCCUUGCUUUGUAGCUCCAACCCUCUGAGGAAACCAGCUACGUUAUGGCAUCAAAUGAGUGCCUUGGAGCAAUGCAGGAGACAUUUGGACAAAGAACAGAAAACGUGACCAGGCAAGUGUGGAGGGGAGUGGACGCGAUGCUCCCAGGACAGCCCAGGCUGCAACACGGGCUGCUGCUACUUGUGGGGAAGUGAGAGCAUCUGAAAUACGGCACAUUUUGUGCUUGGCAGCGAAUCCAGAGCCAAUGUCUGCCCAAGAAUGCUCAUCUGGAGAAAGUGCCUCCUACAGAAAGGCAGGGAGCACAAAGGCUGAGUGUUAUCACAGGGGCUGCUCCGUGAGCCGUGUUUGUUCAAGGACAGACAAUGCAUACUCUGUGAGCUGCCCCGGUGCUGGAUUUUGCACCCCUUUUCUUUCUCUGCAUCAUCAUUCCUCUUCCAAAUCUGUCUCCUGUGCCAGAGAUGAAGCUGUAAGUACCAGCAGGGAAUCAUGUCUCUAAACAUCCUCACUAGAAGAGCCUUAGGAAAAUGUCCCUUUUGCCCUGCCAACAUGAGCGCACAUUCUCCGCUGUGCUGGGUGGGGAGCAGGCUCUGAAGCACCUCAGGUCUCACCAACACCUCCAGCACCUGCAGGGCAUUUCUGAGCAGCCCCAAAGGCACUCCGGUUCUGCUGUACCAGCAGGUGAGGAGCUCCAGAGGAAGGUUGCCUCUACCUGGUCCUGCUGUCCCCACAGCUGGGAAAAGCUGCCACGAAAACUCCUGGGUAGCACCUUGCAUAGAGUCAUAGACUCAUAGAAUGUCUUGUAAGAAACCUUAAAGAUCAUCUAGAUCCAAUCACCCUGCAUAGAUGGCUUUGUAGGGAGCACUGCUGCCGCUGUUGUUUGAGUCAUGCCAAGAGCCAUCAGCAGGCUUUCUGUGACUAAAUGUAGCAUGCUCCACUGUUAUUUAUGGAGAUGGAUGGCUGUCUCUGGAGAGGGAGACAUCCACUGCUCUAAUCAGAGAAAAAGCCUGUUAACAUUGAACAUCUACCUCUGAUGAAUCUCCUUCCCCUCUCCAGAAGAGCUAAUUCACUGAGGAGUUCGUGGCUCUCUUACCCGCUUUUUGCCCCUUACGCUGCAGGCCAGAACAUUUUGAUUCCUGCAUUGGGGACUGGAGAUGAAGCUGUUAGAUUGCCAACCUCAAAUCACGGGGGAAAAUGCAGUCCGAGGGUUGUGCAGUAGCAGAAUUGUUUUGUUUAUUGUUAAGUUAGCAAAAAUGACAGUCUGUUUGCCAGAAAAUGAUUUAUGUUUAUUAAUUUAUUCACAUUGUUGUGAUUAACAGCUUUCUCUGUCAGUCUGGCUGCUUAUCUGCUUGCCUUAAACAAGCAAAUGAGCAAAUGAAAAUCUUAAUUAAAAUGGAGUACCAUCAUUUGUUUGUGAAAGACAGAAAGUUUUGCUGCUGAAUCUUUCUAAUGCUUCACUGAUGGCAAUAGAACUCCUGAUGUUUAGAACAACCCAGCUGGAGGAAAGAGAGAAAGAAAGAAAGAGGAGGGGAGGAAGGAGGGGAAAUACAGAUUAGUACAACAAAUGCUUUUCGUUUGCAUUUUGAUAUCUGACGUGGUCAUGAAGGCUUGUAGAAAGUAAGAGUUCCUCAUGAAGUCUCACAGAAAUCUGUGCCUGGCCUUGUGUUGAACAUAGAAGUUACCUGGAAAAUGAAGAGCAGCUUGAGGUGCUUCUGGAUGAUGGGUUUCUCUAGGUGGGCAAAAUGAAAGUCAGCUGGGAAGAAGAUGUCAAGGUGUGGGUUAUCUCUGAAGCAACGCCCUCCUGCUGAAACAACCCAAAUUUCACAGGCAGAGAGAGAAGUGCUGGAUUUCCAACCCCCAGUGCUCAGGCAGAAGAGAUCUCUGGGUUAUGGUGGAUUUUUGUUUUGAAGCUGUCAGCCCAGCACUCAGUGGUGGAGGGGGAGGGUAACGUUAGGAAUUAUCAAGGAAAGCAGAGAGAGGAAAACAUAGCAUAGUAUGCAGGAAAUUGGUUGGGGAACUCGCAUCUUGAAUGUUGUCUGCAGCUCCAGUUCUCUCAUGCUAAAGAAGAACAACAAAAGAUAGAAAAAAGGACAAGAAACCUGAAGCAACGUGUACACCAUGAAUGAUUAAACAGCCUGGGACUCGCAGGGAGUGGAACAAAAGAAGGGGAGAUUUGGCAGUGAAUCCUAACACCAUGGGCAGCACAGUGAGAUGGGCUAGAGAAAGACUUUUCUGUUUCACAACACAGAAGAACUAGAGAAAACCAACAGAAACAGGCAGGCAAGAUCGGAAAAGAUAAAGGGAGGCAUGAAAUCUUUGUUAUUGUGAAUUGCAGAUGAACUUUUUGCAGUGGAUUAGGAACAUAAGAGCGCCUGUAUUUUCACAUGGGUAGGAGAUCCAACUAGAGACACAGGUGGGCUUAAAAAGGAUGCGUGGAAAUGGCAGUCUGGCCUGCCUUUAGUGAGAUCUCUCCUUGGCUUCACUGGCUCAAGAGCUCAAGAGCUCUUCCCUUGCAUGUUAAUUUACUGUAGAACAGGGUUUGGUCUGUGGAUUGGUUACAGGCACAUGACAAUGUCUAACUGUAAGAGAUGACGAUCUGGUGUAAUUCAUACAUUUGGUACCCAUAAG
ensembl:lncRNA